GCUAUUAGGAGCAUGGAGGCCUCCGUGCUCCUAAGCUGUUUUGGAUGAUGGAGCUUCCGAAUCGACGAUUGGCUCCGCUAGACUUGAUCUACCAUAUUUGAAGUAUUUAGAAAAUAAUUUUUGUGAUUUUUCGAUAUCAUUUACCUAACGAUCGAAAGGGUUCAAAAUCAAUAAUUUUUAAUGGUUGAUGUAUACCGUUUGCAAGUUUAACGGUGUAGAGUCUGGCUACUAUACUAUCGGUAGCAUAGAGCGCUCCGUGCUACCAAGUUGUUUUCGAUGAUGCGGCUUCCAAAUCGACGAUCGGCUUCGUUAGACUUGAUCUACACUAUUGAAAGUAUUUAGAAACUAAAUUUCAUAAUUUUUCGAUAUCAUUUACCUAACGAUCGAAAGGGUUCAAAAUCAAUAAUUUUUAAUGGUUGAUGUAUACCGUUUGCAAGUUUAACGGUGUAGAGUCUGGCUACUAUACUAUCGGUAGCAUAGAGCGCUCCGUGCUACCAAGUUGUUUUCGAUGAUGCGGCUUCCAAAUCGACGAUCGGCUCCGUUAGACUUGAUCUACACUAUUGAAAGUAUUUGGAAACUAAAUUUCAGCUUUUUUGGACAUCAUUUGACUAGUGAUCAAAAGAUCUCAAAAUUGACAAUUUUAAUGGCCGAUGUGGUGUGUUUGUGAGUUUAACGGUGUAAAACAAUCCAAAUCCGAUAAAAAUUUUAUAGAAAAUUCUUUUCACUAUUUAGAGUAAGAUCAGUAUAUGUGAUCUUGAAUUUAAAUCUUUUAUCAUCAUUUUUUAUGAGAUUUUUAUUUUCAGUCGUUCAAUUUUAUAUUACUUAUUUGAUAGGUAAACGGUAUCGAAAAGUUAUGAAAUUUAGUUUCUAAAUAUUUUUAAUAGUGUAGAUCAAGUCUAAUGGAGCCGAUCGUCGAUUUGGAAACCGCAUCAUCGAAAAUAACUUGGUAGCACGGAGCGCUCCGUGCUACCGAUAGAAUAAUAGCCUAACUCAAUAUAUAUAGAGAGAGAGAGUGUGAGUGAGGCUACUAUGCUUCUGGAAGCACGAAGCCUUCUAUGCUUCCAGGCCGUUUUCGAUGUUGUGACUUUCGAAUCGUCGAUCGGCUCCAUUAAACUUGAUCUAGAGUAUUUGAAGUACCUAGAAAAUAAAUUUUAUAAUUUUUCGAUAUCAUUUGCCUAAUGAAUGAAGGGGCUCAAAAUCAACUGUUGAAAAUAAAAACCUUACAAAACGUGAUAAUAUGACAUUAAAAUUUGAGAUCAAAAAUAUUGAUCUUGUUUUAUAUAGUAUAAAAAAUUUUCUAUCAAAAUUUCACAUAAUUUGGAUAUUUCUACACCGUUAAACGUGUAAACGGCUCACCACGGCCAUUAAAAUUAUUGAUUUUGAGUCUCUUCGAUCAUUA
rnacentral:lncRNA from 1 species